rnacentral:rRNA from 1 species
UUACGGCCUUAUCAUGUUGAAACACCAGGUUCCUCUACAAUCCCCCAAAGUUAAGCAACGUCGAGCCUGAUCAGUACCUAGAUGGGUGACUGCUUGGGAAUACCAGAUGCU